GGGCCCCUAGCUCAGUGGUAGAGCACCUGACUUUUAAUCAGGGUGUCUUGGGUUCGAUCCCCAAGGGGCCCACCA
rnacentral:tRNA from 1 species